CAACUACAUCUUAUGGAGUCAUGAAAAUUUUGGAAGAUCUUCUAAUUGACAGUCAUAUUGUCUUAGAAGUAUAUAUAUCCUAUAUAUAUGGGUAAUUGAUAACAUCCAAUGAACUAAAUCUUUAUUCGAGUUCGUUCUUCUCCUUAAUGGAGAAAUCCAUUAUCUUAUGAUGCUUCUUUCCUUGAUAUCUUUCAAGGAAACUGUUCUAAGGAGGUAAAUACUUUAGACGUCUUACUCAUCAACUUACAUUUCUUGAAUUCUU
rnacentral:lncRNA from 1 species